AACAAAUAAAUGAGAAGAUCCAUCGACUUAGGCCAGAGAACAGGGAGCUUGCUCAGGAAAUAUCCCUUUGGGAGCUGAAGAUCCGGGAAGGCAAGAAACAUGUUGCAGAAACGAAGAGUGAACAUAAGUUUCUCUCUGAGGAAGUUCUUAAAUUGAAGGAGAACAUCGGAAAGGUUGACGAAGUUAAUGAAAAUUUAAAUGACACCCUUCAUUGGGCACUGGCUCACUUGCAAAUUGAGAGAGAGAAGAAGGUCAAGAAUCAGGAUGUGGCCCAAGAUGCAUUCGAGGAUGGAGAGCAGAGAGCCUUUAGGGCCAAAAAACGAGAACUGCAG